ACACGCCUGCGGUUGUGUCUAAUCUUGAAUCCGAGUAAUGAGACCACCAAAUCUCUCAAGGCGUAGCUGAAAGGUUGCGGGAACGUAAGACGCCGAGGAUAACAUGAUAGACCCACAAACAUACUGCCGUUCAGCUUCUGCCAAAAGGAAGCAUCCCGACGAAUGCACACCGGAUCUGAAGCUUGAACCACCCUACCCCCUUCAUGUGAUGCCCACUCUGCAAGUAGCUUAAGGGGC
rnacentral:lncRNA from 1 species